AAUCUUGGACAAUGGGCGAAAGCCUGAUCCAGCCAUGCCGCGUGAGUGAUGAAGGCCUUAGGGUUGUAAAGCUCUUUCGCCAGGGAAGAUAAUGACGGUACCUGGAUAAGAAGCCCCGGCUAACUCCGUGCCAGCAGCCGCGGUAAUACGGAGGGGGCUAGCGUUGUUCGGAAUUACUGGGCGUAAAGCGCACGUAGGCGGCUUUUCAAGUUGGGGGUGAAAUCCCCGGGCUUAACCCGGGAACUGCCUCCAAAACUGAAAAGCUCGAGUCCGAGAGAGGUGAGUGGAAUUUCCAGUGUAGAGGUGAAAUUCGUAGAUAUUGGAAAGAACACCAGUGGCGAAGGCGGCUCACUGGCUCGGUACUGACGCUGAGGUGCGACAGCGUGGGGAGCAAACAGG
rnacentral:rRNA from 1 species